GAUGAAGAACGCAGUGAAAUGCGAUAAGUAAUGUGAAUUGCAGAAUUCAGUGAAUCAUCGAAUCUUUGAACGCACAUUGCGCCCCUUGGUAUUCCGAGGGGCAUGCCUGUUCGAGCGUCAUUAUAACCCCUCAAGCUCAGCUUGGUGUUGGGGCCUGCUGCACUGGCAGCCCCUAAAAUCAGUGGCGGCGCCAUCUGGCUCUAAGCGUAGUAAUUCUUCUCGCUAUGGAGUCCUGGUGGAUGCUUGCCAUCAACCCCCAAUUUUUCUAUGGUUGACCUCGGAUCAGGUAGGGAUACCCGCUGAACUUAAGCAUAUCAAUAAGCGGAGGA
rnacentral:misc_RNA from 1 species